UAGACAAAUAAAACCCAUUUUCGUUUCUUGAUAGCUUUUAUAGCAAUGAAUAAUACUGAUUUAUAAACAUCUAUAAACACCCUUUUCAAAUUUUAAGAUAUUAUUGGAUUUAUAAUGUUUUUGUUGUUUAUAGUUCUCAAUAAAUAAUAAAUUAUCUAUCACUAUCUAAAAGCAGGGAUUAAGAGCUUAUUAAACUAUGGAGAGUUCAAAAAAAGUUCCAAAACUAAGGAUGGAGUCAACACCGACAUCAAACAGUUCAACUAUAAGUGAUCGUCCAAAAAGCUACCAAAACUAUAUAACCAUGAGGACACCUUCUCAUGUUAAUUAUAACAACCCUCUGUUUGGUCGACCUGAACAAGAUUCUGAUGGAAAGCAGGAAAACUAAAACUGCAAAGAGGACCCGCUUGAAAUGAACCUAAACCAGUCAGUCAAAGAAAAAGCAGACUACUACAAACAUUCUCGCGCUUUUUAAGUACAAUUCUAAAAUAAUGCAAGUUUCAUGCGUCAUUGUCAAUCCCUUUUGUUAUGCAUCAUUUUAACAUACAUAUAUGGAAGAUUAAACAUUU